CAGUAGCCGCGGUAAAACGUAGGGUGCAAGCGUUAAUCGGAAUUACUGGGCGUAAAGCGUGCGCAGGCGGUUUGUUAAGACGGAUGUGAAAUCCCCGGGCUCAACCUGGGAACUGCAUUCGUGACUGGCAGGCUAGAGUAUGGCAGAGGGGGGUGGAAUUCCACGUGUAGCAGUGAAAUGCGUAGAGAUGUGGAGGAACACCGAUGGCGAAGGCAGCCCCCUGGGCCAAUACUGACGCCCAUGCACGAAAGCGUGGGGAGCAAACAGGAUUAGAUACCCCUGUAGUCCCUGUCUCUUAUAC
rnacentral:rRNA from 1 species